rnacentral:lncRNA from 1 species
CUGGUUCCUUUUUCCUUACAGAAGUUUCUACACUCCAGGACCAGGUAUUUACAUAGUUUCCAAUGUCGCAUAGUUCAUGCUAAUCUCCUGAACUAUAUCUACCUUGUAGAUGUUUUCAAGUACAUGAACCAUCCUUUAGUAUAGAUGAUGAGUUUUCAUGAAACUUAUUCCGAAAGAACUGAUUAAUUAAAUGCAGAACUCUUUUCUCUUUCAGUUUAAGCUAGCGGAUUGUAAUGUCAAUAGGUCCCCUGUUAAUUGCUUAAGCUUCAUAUUAUGGUGGUAUUUAGCUUGGCAUGUUUUUUUCUUUGUUCUGUACUCAACAUUAUUUUUUCAGGUGAGUAGGAAAAGUGCAUACUUCCCGCUAUCCCUGGAUUUCCUUUGCUGUGUGUAUGCUCUGUUCUUUUUUCUGGACUUACAGCAAUGAGCAGGCUCACACCAUAACAAUUCUAAAAUGCUUCCUGGUCAACUAAAUCACUGAAUAAAUUACAUGUGUACAAUGCCUUGAUGACUUAUUCGAAUAUUGUAUUACAUGUCAUUCCUUGACUGUUCCAAUUCCUUGUAGAAAAACUUUCCCAGUUGUUUUAUUGCACACAAUUACCAUUGGUUUGUUGACUCAUUCUUCUCAUAGGAAUCACCACUGGUGGUGGAGAUGAUCAAGCUGAACUGUUGUACAUCAGUUGAGAUGAUUGGGCUUCUUUAUUGGUCUAUAAGAGGUGAUGGUAAUGAUAUCUUCUACCACGUGUCCAUUGUUUUGCUUGCCUGGUUUGAUAAUUUUGUGGUUCAUCGGAUCAACAUUAUUCGCAAUUGUGCCAGUGUUACACAGAAUGCAGUCUGAUCGUUUGUCCCUUGAACAAUGUGGUCAUUUUGCGCUUUUCCUACAGGAAUCUUUAUCCAUUUUUUAUCUCCCA